AACGAACGCUGGCGGCGCGCCUAAUACAUGCAAGUCGAGCGAGAAGACGUAGCAAUACGUUUGUAAAGCGGCGAACGGGUGAGGAAUACAUGGGUAACCUACCCUCGAGUGGGGAAUAACUAGCCGAAAGGUUAGCUAAUACCGCGUACGCUCCUUGGACUUCGGUUCAGGGAGGAAAGCGAUACCGUGGGUAUCGCGCUCUUGGAUGGGCUCAUGUCCUAUCAGCUUGUUGGUGAGGUAACGGCUCACCAAGGCCUCGACGGGUAGCUGGUCUGAGAGGACGAUCAGCCACACUGGCACUGCGACACGGGCCAGACUCCUACGGGAGGCAGCAGUAAGGAAUAUUGCGCAAUGGGCGAAAGCCUGACGCAGCGACGCCGCGUGGGGGAUGAAGGUCUUCGGAUUGUAAACCCCUUUCGGGAGGGAAGAUGGAACGAGCAAUCGUUCGGACGGUACCUCCAGAAGCAGCCACGGCUAACUUCGUGCCAGCCGCCGCAGUAAU
rnacentral:rRNA from 1 species